GAUGAACGCUAGCGGCAGGCCUAACACAUGCAAGUCGAGGGAGAAGCCCUUUCGGGGGCAGAAACCGGCGCACGGGUGCGUAACGCGUAUGCAACCUACCUUUCACAGGGGGGUAGCCCGAAGAAAUUUGGAUUAAUACCCCAUAAUAUUAUUGGAUGGCAUCAUUUGAUAAUUAAAACUGCGGUGGUGAAAGAUGGGCAUGCGUCCUAUUAGCUAGUUGGAGUGGUAACGGCACCCCAAGGCUACGAUAGGUAGGGGUCCUGAGAGGGAGAUCCCCCACACUGGUACUGAGACAGGGACCAGACUCCUACGGGAGGCAGCAGUGAGGAAUAUUGGUCAAUGGUCGGAAGACUGAACCAGCCAUGCCGCGUGCAGGAAGAAUGCCUUAUGGGUUGUAAACUGCUUUUAUAUGGGAAGAAUAAGGCGUACGUGUACGUUGAUGACGGUACCAUAUGAAUAAGCAUCGGCUAACUCCGUG
rnacentral:rRNA from 1 species